rnacentral:rRNA from 1 species
GACGAACGCUGGCGGCGUGCCUAAUACAUGCAAGUAGAACGCUGAAGGAGGAGCUUGCUCUUCUGGAUGAGUUGCGAACGGGUGAGUAACGCGUAGGUAACCUGCCUGGUAGCGGGGGAUAACUAUUGGAAACGAUAGCUAAUACCGCAUAAGAGUAGAUGUUGCAUGACAUUUGCUUAAAAGGUGCAAUUGCAUCACUACCAGAUGGACCUGCGUUGCAUUAGCUAGUUGGUGAGGUAACGGCUCACCAAGGCGACGAUACAUAGCCGACCUGAGAGGGUGAUCGGCCACACUGGGACUGAGACACGGCCCAGACUCCUACGGGAGGCAGCAGUAGGGAAUCUUCGGCAAUGGACGGAAGUCUGACCGAGCAACGCCGCGUGAGUGAAGAAGGUUUUCGGAUCGUAAAGCUCUGUUGUAAGAGAAGAACGAGUGUGAGAGUGGAAAGUUCACACUGUGACGGUAUCUUACCAGAAAGGGACGGCUAACUACGUGCCAGCAGCCGCGGUAAUACGUAGGUCCCGAGCGUUGUCCGGAUUUAUUGGGCGUAAAGCGAGCGCAGGCGGUUAGAUAAGUCUGAAGUUAAAGGCUGUGGCUUAACCAUAGUACGCUUUGGAAACUGUUUAACUUGAGUGCAAGAGGGGAGAGUGGAAUUCCAUGUGUAGCGGUGAAAUGCGUAGAUAUAUGGAGGAACACCGGUGGCGAAAGCGGCUCUCUGGCUUGUAACUGACGCUGAGGCUCGAAAGCGUGGGGAGCAAACAGG